GAUGAACGCUGGCGGCGUGCCUAAUACAUGCAAGUCGAGCGAACGGACGAGAAGCUUGCUUCUCUGAUGUUAGCGGCGGACGGGUGAGUAACACGUGGAUAACCUACCUAUAAGACUGGGAUAACUUCGGGAAACCGGAGCUAAUACCGGAUAAUAUUUUGAACCGCAUGGUUCAAAAGUAAAAGACGGUGUUGCUGUCACUUAUAGAUGGAUCCGCGCUGCAUUAGCUAGUUGGUAAGGUAACGGCUUACCAAGGCAACGAUGCAUAGCCGACCUGAGAGGGUGAUCGGCCACACUGGAACUGAGACACGGUCCAGACUCCUACGGGAGGCAGCAGUAGGGAAUCUUCCGCAAUGGGCGAAAGCCUGACGGAGCAACGCCGCGUGAGUGAUGAAGGUCUUCGGAUCGUAAAACUCUGUUAUUAGGGAAGAACAUAUGUGUAAGUAACUGUGCACAUCUUGACGGUACCUAAUCAGAAAGCCACGGCUAACUACGUG
rnacentral:rRNA from 1 species